UCGUUAUCGAAAGCCGGGGGUUGGCCU
rnacentral:sRNA from 1 species